CUGAAAGAAAAAGAUAUUUCUUGAUCAACAUCUACUGCUCAAAAAGAUGGUGUACAUAACAAGUUGUUUUACCUGAGGGUCCCCAUACACUGCAUUCUUUUUCAACAGGUUUCCAGACACGGGUACCAGCGACCACUACAGCGUAUCGUACGGCCGCGGUGGAAGCCUACACCUCAGGUUUUAGGUGAUGGAGCUACCAUUGUCAUCAGUUUUUCUGCAUCUGAGGGCGGAGAGGCGAUGACUACGUGACUCGUGUUCUCAAUUGUCCUGCCGCAUCAUUUACACUUUGGAAUGUCAACACAGUUAGUGACGUGGAAUUUCGCUGGUGGCAUCUUUUGCCUUCCGAAUACAGCUAAUCAGUGUACGCCACCCUUCAUUUUUGCAGAUCGCCACCAGCAAAGAUACUCUGAACGGCAAUACAUAGGAGAUAGCUGUCAAGCGUGGGAGUGGGUACUUUGUAUAUUUUAUGUAUUUUUCUUUAGUUCCUGUAAUAGCUGAGUGCAAGAGGUUAUAGUGGACUGAACACUUAGUUCAAGUUGGGGUGAAAGGUACAAAAAUGCAUGCAGGUUUAGAGUAAUUUUUUUGGAAAGUGAACAAUAGGAAGUCUAAGAUGAGACUUUGAAGGACUGAAAUGAAAGGUCUCAGGACAACGUCCACAUAUACUCUUUUGUCACUGCUCAUUAUAAAGUUGAUUAAGUUACUUAAUAUAUGCCUUAAUACAUGUACUUGUAGGGAGUAUCUGUUCUUCGUCUUCAGUGGUGUGUCUAAUUCAAGCGUUUGUUGAGAUGCCAGCUUUACAUUAUUCCUUGAGUGACUUGUUAACAUGAGGUUGACAGUCCAUCAACAAAACAAUUCUUGGUUAUAGUUUCACUGUUUAUUAAGAAUACACUACAUUUUUAGACCUUAAUUGGUCAUCUUCAGGUGAUUCUCUUUAAGUGUUUGAAACUAAUAGAUGUGACUGCUAAUUUGUAUAUACAUUUUCUGUUGUUGACUUUACCAUGUUAUGGACUGUGUCGUAAGUGGAUUACCUGUUUUAAUAAAGUGGACUAUGUAGGUGUAGUGACCAGUGGAAAACUGUAGUUUAUGGUGAUGUUGAUGGUUGAUGUGGAAGGGUAGAUCUAGGUGGAUGGGGAUGGAGUAGGGUUGGUAAGAUAUUUAAUGAUGGUGGAUGGAGAGAAUGAUGUUAGGUAUUAUUGUAGUCUGUCAGGAUUUCAAAAGUGGGGUUGUUGCUGUCUGGGUUUGUUUGGUUUAAAUGAAUGCCAUUUUAAUGCUACUGUGUAUGUGGAAUUUUUCUGGUAUGUUCAUGUAACUGCCUUUUUUGUCCUUUGAGAUUUUUCAUUGUAUCUUCCAAGGUGCCAUAUGAGGGUCCAUUUUGUAGAAUAUGUUGAGAAAAUUCUGUGUUAGGUUUGUUAGCUUUUAUAUUCAUGUUAUAGUCCUUGAAUCUGAUUUCUAAAUUUCUGCUUGUUUUCCCUAUAUAAUAUUAAUGGCAGUCUUGGCAAGUUAGCUGGUAAAUUCCUCUUUUGUUAUGUUUGUUGUUUUAAGUGUCUAUAUAUAGUGUUCGACAGUAUGAAACUAAUAUCGAUUCCUACGUUUUUGAAGAGGUUUGUGAGUUUUCUGUUCUGAUGUCCAAUAUAAAUAAAUGUAGCCCAUUUUUUAUGUCUGUCUGGGUUUGAAGAAUUCUUUGAUCAUAUUAAGUUAGAGGAGAUAUUUUAUAUGGUAUGGGGGAUAAUCAUUGUUGUGAAGAAUGGUUUUGAUGGUUUCCAUUUCCAUUUCUUUGUUAUUUAUGGAUGAUGAAUAUGUAUAUGCUCUGUUUAACAUAUAUAGUUUGUAGUAUCUCUUUUAUGGUCUUGAGGGUGGCAUUAGUUAUUGAGGAUGAUAAUGUCAAUUGUGGUUGGUUUCCUAAAGAUAUUGUGUUAAAGUUUUCUGUUAUUCUUCUUGAUGGUUAGAUCUAGAAAACUGAUGGUGUAUGUUCUUUUUUCAUAGUAAAUUUAAGUCGAGAGUGGAUAGACUUAAAUGAUGACAGCAGACGGACUAGCAACCUGACAUUCAACACACACCAGGGUGCAUCCCUUAAAAUUUGACUUAACUAACUCUCAUUCUCACUAUUCGCUCCAUGAACAUUCUUCUUUUCUUACAUGUUUUCUAAUAUAGACCAUGGAGUUCUCAAAGGUCAUGUUGAAUAAAAGGAAGGUAAAAUUUAUUUCAAGUAAAUCUCUCAGAGAAAUACAAAUAGCUGUAUAAUAGAUAAAUUAGGUACAUAUGUAAAGUGACUCUCAAAAUGGAUUAAAGUAAGCAAAAAUUUAUAUGGUAAUGUGUAUAAUGUUAGUAUCACAUAUUACAUCUUAUGAACAUCUAUUAAAAGACUCAGGAAUUACUUCAUUUUAAAAAUAACACAAGCUAAACCUAAACCAAAAUGGUAUGAUAAAAUGUACUCUGAGUCUACUGUAUACAUUUUGAUCAACAUCAGUCUCAUAGUUUUGAUCAUAUUAAAUGUGGACGUACAUGUCAAAACUAACACAGUAGGUGGUUUUCCAUAUUUAUUAUGGUUUUGAAAUUUUUAUUUUCAUUAUUCUCUGUAAUGCCCAAAUAUAAAUAAAAUUUAGGAAAUCAAAAUUAUUGAAUUUUGGAGUAUGCAGGAAGGAUA